rnacentral:rRNA from 1 species
UUCGCAAUGCCCGAAAGGGUGACGAAGCGACGCCGCGUGCGGGAAGAAGGCCUUCGGGUUGUAAACCGCUGUCGGGAGUUAGAAAAUGCAAGGAUGUUAAUAGCGUCUUUGCUUGACUAAGGCUCCGGAGGAAGCCACGGCUAACUCUGUGCCAGCAGCCGCGGUAAUACAGAGGCGGCAAGCGUUGUUCGGAAUUAUUGGGCGUAAAGAGCACGUAGGCGGCCGUGUAAGUCGGUUGUGAAAGCCUUCCGCUCAACGGGAGAACGGCAUCCGAUACUGCAUGGCUCGAGUGCGGGAGGGGAGAGUGGAACUUCUGGUGGAGCGGUGAAAUGCGUAGAUAUCAGAAGGAACACCGGCGGCGAAGGCGACUCUCUGGCCCGUAACUGACGCUGAGUGUGCGAAAGCUAGGGGAGCAAACGGGAUUAGAUACCCCGGUAGUCCUAGCCGUAAACGAUGGGCACUAAGUAGAGGGGUUUU